rnacentral:rRNA from 1 species
GAUGAACGCUGGCGGCGUGCCUAAUACAUGCAAGUCGAGCGAACGGACGAGAAGCUUUCUUCUCUGAUGUUAGCGGCGGACGGGUGAGUAACACGUGGAUAACCUACCUAUAAGACUGGGAUAACUUCGGGAAACCGCAGCUAAUACCGGAUGAUAUUUUGAACCGCAUGGUUCAAAAGUGAAAGACGGUCUUGCUGUCACUUAUAGAUGGAUUCGCGCUGCAUUAGCUAGUUGGUAAGGUAACGGCUUACCAAGGCAACGAUGCAUAGCCGACCUGAGAGGGUGAUCGGCCACACUGGAACUGAGACACGGUCCAGACUCCUACGGGAGGCAGCAGUAGGGAAUCUUCCGCAAUGGGCGAAAGCCUGACGGAGCAACGCCGCGUGAGUGAUGAAGGUCUUCGGAUCGUAAAACUCUGUUAUUAGGGAAGAACAUAUGUGUAAGUAACUGUGCACAUCUUGACGGUACCUAAUCAGAAAGCCACGGCUAACUACGUG